UACAGAGGGGGGCAAGCGUUGUUCGGAAUCAUUGGGCGUAAAGAGCGCGUAGGCGGUCUGAUAAGUCGGUUGUGAAAGUCGGGGGGCUCAACCCUGGGAUGCCGGUGGAUACUGUCGGGCUCGAAUCCGGAAGAGGUGAGUGGAAUUCCUGGUGUAGCGGUGGAAUGCGCAGAUAUCAGGAGGAGCACCAAUGGCGAAGGCAGCUCUCUGGUACGUGAUUGACGCUGAGACGCGAAAGCGUGGGGAGCGAACAGG
rnacentral:rRNA from 1 species